rnacentral:rRNA from 1 species
AACGAACGCUGGCGGCAGGCCUAACACAUGCAAGUCGAGCGCACCUUCGGGUGAGCGGCGGACGGGUUAGUAACGCGUGGGAACGUACCCAGAUCUAAGGAAUAGCCACUGGAAACGGUGAGUAAUACCUUAUACGCCCUUCGGGGGAAAGAUUUAUCGGAUUUGGAUCGGCCCGCGUUAGAUUAGGUAGUUGGUGGGGUAAUGGCCUACCAAGCCUACGAUCUAUAGCUGGUUUUAGAGGAUGAUCAGCAACACUGGGACUGAGACACGGCCCAGACUCCUACGGGAGGCAGCAGUGGGGAAUCUUAGACAAUGGGGGAAACCCUGAUCUAGCCAUGCCGCGUGAGUGAUGAAGGUCUUAGGAUCGUAAAGCUCUUUCGCCAGGGAUGAUAAUGACAGUACCUGGUAAAGAAACCCCGGCUAACUCCGUGCCAGCAGCCGCGGUAAUACGGAGGGGGUUAGCGUUGUUCGGAAUUACUGGGCGUAAAGCGCGCGUAGGCGGAUCGGAAAGUUGGGGGCGAAAUCCCGGGGCUCAACCCCGGAACUGCCUCCAAAACUAUCGGUCUAGAGUUCGAGAGAGGUGAGUGGAACUCCGAGUGUAGAGGUGAAAUUCGUAGAUAUUCGGAAGAACACCAGUGGCGAAGGCGGCUCACUGGCUCGAUACUGACGCUGAGGUGCGAAAGUGUGGGGAGCAAACAGGAUUAGAUACCCUGGUAGUCCACACCGUAAACGAUGAAUGCCAGUCGUCGGGCAGUAUACUGUUCGGUGACACACCUAACGGAUUAAGCAUUCCGCCUGGG